AAGGAAUAUUGGACAAUGGAGGCAACUCUGAUCCAGCCAUGCCGCGUGAAGGAAUAAGGCCCUAUGGGUUGUAAACUUCUUUUAGACGGGACAAAACCCCUUUACGUGUAAAGGGUUGAUGGUACUGUCAGAAUAAGCAUCGGCUAACUUCGUGCCAGCAGCCGCGGUAAUACGAAGGAUGCAAGCGUUAUCCGGAAUUAUUGGGUUUAAAGGGUGCGUAGGCGGACUAAUAAGUCAGUGGUGAAAGCCUGCAGCUUAACUGCAGAAUUGCCAUUGAUACUGUUAGUAGUGAGUACAGUUGAGGUAGGCGGAAUGUGUCAUGUAGCGGUGAAAUGCUUAGAUAUGACACAGAACACCGAUUGCGAAGGCAGCUGGCUAAGCUGUAACUGACGCUGAGGCACGAAAGCGUGGGGAGCAAA
rnacentral:rRNA from 1 species